GUCAUUUUUUUGUUGUCCAGUGAACACGAGUCAACAAGUUCAAGGCGUGCCGCUGUUUUAUACCGUAUCUUGGGGAAUUUGAAGUCCUUUCAACGGGACCUACAGCAAAUUCGUGGAUUUGAGAAAGCGUUGUUACUUUUGGUUUCGACCGUGCUGCCCUCAUUUUGUUUUUGUGGGCCGCCUUGGGAACGAACAUGAAACGUCCGGUGUCAUUUUGUCUCUGUUUGUGGUCACUUAUUGGCUGCGCCGUCGGCAAGAUCGUGAACGUAUACGUCGCUGAGGGCCAAACGCUGACUCUGCGGCCCAAGCUUCAAGGCCCCGUCCAGAGCGUGGAAUGGAAGCAGAAGCGCGAUAUUAUCAUCGAGUCGGACGGAGGUGAAGUGACCCGCUACGACGACCGAAUCGCCCUGAACGUGACCAACGCCGUGCUGGAACUUGCGGGCGUGGUCGCGGCGGACGCGGGCACCUUCACGGUGUCUUUGAACAACGUGAUGCAGGACGAGGUCUUCGCGGUCCACGUGAUCAAGUUCGUGCCGAAACCGGAAGUGCACUCGACCCCGCUCGCGUGCUCUGAAAACUUGGAGAAUUGCACGCUCCACUGCGGCGGGGACACGAGUGGCAGGGAGCCUGUCACGUACUUUUGGAGAACCGAACCCGGAGAGGAAAUGCCGGGAGCACGCAACAGGACCAUCGACCGAACAACUUCCGCGGUCAAGAGUUUCUUUUGCAUUAUGCAGAAUCCCUUGGGCCGGAUGGAGAGCCAAGCCUUUGCCAACCCCUUCCAUCAGGACCGACCUCUGGGACCAGGCGGGAUCGCCGGAAUCGUCUUGACCGUGCUCGUGGCCGUGUGUGGUAUGACGGUGGCCGGCAUGUUUUUCAAAAAGCGUCAAAGUGCAUCCAAUGAAGCCGCGGGGGGAACAAACUUGGAAACGUCACAACCGCUGAACAGCAACAAUUGACCGGCGAGGUUGCCAGGUGACACGCUGACUUUUACUCCGGUCGCCUCAGAUUUUUUGAAGACGUCACUGUCGACAGAUUGAGAUUGAGUUCCAGCCAGCAGAGGCACUGUUGAUUCGAACUAAAGAUGGAGAGCAUUCAUUGCUGCCGUUUAUUUGUGAAAUCAUCGUUUAAGUAGGUUCAAAUCAUUUGACAGACGCAACCUUAGUAGCGUCUUGUUGACUUUGAAACUUAGCUUGUAGCCGACGUGUGCACAUUUUUAGCAUGACGUCUCUGAUCCACUGGUUAAAGGACACUUUGAUUCUCUCCUCUUUCAUCUCAAACUGCUUCAAACAACAAAGCGUGUGACGUAAAAGUGGUUAUGGCGGCACAACUGUCCGUGUUUCGUGUUAUGUGUUGUGUUUAUUAUUUAACUUUAUGUUAACUGUUUUGUGAAGCGCUUUCCGCUGUUGUGAAAGCGCUAUAUAAAUCAGCAUGUAUUGUAUUGCAUUUAACGCUUCUGUUUGUGAAUCAACGCUUGCUCAGUUUAAGUUUUGGCGGAUAUCAAAUGUUUGUUCCAAUUCAAUUCACACACACACGUGUCAAAGCAUUUCCUUCUCAAGUGAAGCAUUCAUUUGAGUGCAAACCUCCACCAAGGCCUCAAAUCCAAAUUUGGAUCUGCACAUAUGCUCUUUAUGUCUUAAUAUAUUUGGCGUGAGGAUUUGUCUUUUGUUCCAGGUGAAAUGAAGGAGGAAAAAAAAUAUGAGAAUGUGAACACCCAGAAUCUUGGAUCUGGGUGGAGUUAAUGGAUGUGGAUGUGCCUACCCGAGCUUUCUCUCCAAAUGAUAUUUAAUAUUUUCGCACAUCCUCAGCAAAUGCAUAACCCUGAAAAACACUUUUAAUGCGUCAAUUCAGCAUAUCUUGAGAAUUGCAGAAGGGUCGCCUCCGUUGGUUUCCUCUUAUCUGAU